GAUCAUGGCUCAGGCUGAACGCUAGCUACAGGCUUAACACAUGCAAGUCGAGGGGCAGCGGGAAGUCAGCUUGCUGACUUUGCCGGCGACCGGCGCACGGGUGAGUAACACGUAUCCAACCUUCCCGUUACUCUGGAAUAGCCUUUCGAAAGAAAGAUUAAUACCGGAUAGUAUCGAGAGAUUGCAUGAUUACCCGAUUAAAGAUUCAUCGGUAACGGAGUGGGGAUGCGUUCCAUUAGGCAGG
rnacentral:rRNA from 1 species